rnacentral:rRNA from 1 species
UACGUAGGGUGCGAGCGUUAAUCGGAAUUACUGGGCGUAAAGCGUGCGCAGGCGGUUUUGUAAGCCAGAUGUGAAAUCCCCGGGCUUAACCUGGGAAUGGCAUUUGGGACUGCAAGGCUGGAGUACGGCAGAGGAGACUGGAAUUCCUGGUGUAGCAGUGAAAUGCGUAGAGAUCGGGAGGAAUACCGAUGGCGAAGGCAGGUCUCUGGGCUGAUACUGACGCUCAUGCACGAAAGCGUGGGGAGCAAACAGG